rnacentral:rRNA from 1 species
AUUGAACGCUGGCGGCAGGCCUAACACAUGCAAGUCGAGCGGAGCGGCGGACGGGUGAGUAAUGCCUAGGAAUCUGCCUGGUAGUGGGGAAAACGUCCGGGAAAGGGCGCCAAUACCGGAUAGCUUCAGAUGAGCCUAGGUCGGAUUUGCUAGUUGGGGGGGUAAAGGCCUACCAAGGCGACGAUCCGUAACUGGUCUGAGAGGAUGAUCAGUCAAACUGGAACUGAGACACGGUCCAGACUCCUACGGGAGGCAGCAGUGGGGAAUAUUGGACAAUGGGCGAAAGCCUGAUCCAGCCAUGCCGCGUGUGUGAAGAAGGUCUUCGGAUUGUAAAGCACUUUAAGUUGGGAGGCGUUACCAACAGAAUAAGCACCGGCUAACUUCGUGCCAGCAGCCGCGGUAAUAC